CAUAUUCAGCGACCUCUCGAAUCUGAGCUAUGGCUUCUCCCAUGACAUGAUCCCUUUCUCUAAUCUGCCCACUAGACUAAUGAAGCUCUCCCUUUAGAUAAUCUCCUUGCGUUUCGAGUUGCUCGAUCUGAAGUUUACCUUCCUGCAAUGCUGCUUCCAAAUCUUCAACUUUACUCUUUAGCUCUUUUAACUCGACCGUAGAAUCAUGGUUGCGAUGCCAACGAAGGGAUCUUCCAAGCUCAGUUAUUUUAAACUUCAACCCUUUAUUCUCUUCUUCUAAUGCCAAAUUCCGCGGUUGCAUCUCCUAAAACUUCUUCUCCCAAUACUCAGCUCUAGCCUUUCCUUCUUAGAUCUCUUUCUGCAACUGAUCUGAAGACCUUCCUAUUUUCGCUCUUCUCAAAGAUACCUGUGCCUUUUUGUAGUGUUCCUUCAAAUCAUCUCUAUCCUCUUCAAUUUUCCUCUUUUCCUUUCUUUCUUUCUCGACCUCCAUCUUCUGGACAUCGAUAUCUAAACUUAAGUACAUCUUUUCUUCUUCGAGCUUUGCUAUCCUUUUCUCAAGCUCCAAAUUUUUCCUCUCAAAUUCUUGCUUCAUAAUUUCUAACUCCGAGGGCAUCACUUGCAGAUAUUCCUCCAUCGGUCGAGUUCCUUCCAUACUUGGCUCAGGAAUAUUAUCAUUGAUCCUUCUACCUCUCCAUUCAACAUAUUCUGGAGUCGUAGCAGGGCCAAUAGCUACUCCUUUCAACCGACACGUCUUGUUCCAACUGCUAGAGAUCUCACCGACCCUUUUUUUUGUAAUCGGCUCCUCUAUAUGCGAACUCACUUUGAGUUAGCCCAUGAGUUGCUGGCACGAACUGCCUCAAACCGAAUUGCCUUAACACGAGCAAGGGGGCAUAACCAAUGGCACCCCAAAUUCCCAAUA
rnacentral:lncRNA from 1 species